rnacentral:rRNA from 1 species
AUUGAACGCUGGCGGCAGGCUUAACACAUGCAAGUCGAGCGAGAGGCGGACGGGUGAGUAAUGUCUGGGAAACUGCCUGAUGGAGGGGGAUAACUACUGGAAACGGUAGCUAAUACCGCAUACCAUCAUAUGUGCCCAGAUGGGAUUGGCUAGUAGGUGGGGUAAUGGUUCACCUAGGCGACGAUCCCUAGCUGGUCUGUGAGGGUGACCAGCCAUGCUGGAACGGAGACACGGUCCAGACUCCUACGGGAGGCAGCAGUGGGGAAUAGUGCGCAAUGGGCGCAAUCCUGAUGCAGCCAUGCCGCGUGUGUGAAGAGGGCCUUCGGGUUGUAAAGCACUUUUAUCAAUGAGGCGUUACUCGCAGAAGAAGCACCGGCUAACUCCGUGCCAGCAGCCGCGGUAAUAC